GCCUAGCACAUGUAAGUCGAACGAGAAAGUUCCUUCGGGAGCAAUUGAAGUGGCGCACGGGUGAGUAACGCGUAGACAAUCUGCCCUUCAGUCUGGGACAACUUUUCGAAAGGAGAGCUAAUACCGGAUAACAAUGCAUGACACAAGUUGUAUAUUUGAAAGCUUUAUGUGCUGAAGGAGGGGUCUGCGUCCCAUUAGCUAGUUGGUAGGGUAAAGGCUUACCAAGGCAACGAUGGGUAGCGGGUUUGAGAGGACGAUCCGCCACACUGGAACUGAGACACGGUCCAGACUCCUACGGGAGGCAGCAGUGGGGAAUAUUGCACAAUGGAGGCAACUCUGAUGCAGCAAUGUCGCGUGAGUGAAGAAGGCCCUUGGGUCGUAAAGCUCUUUUAUGGGGGAAGAUGAUGACGGUACCCCAAGAAUAAGCACCGGCUAACUAUGUGCCAGCAGCCGCGGUAAUACAUAGGGUGCGAGCGUUGUUCGGAAUUACUGGGCGUAAAGGGCGCGCAGGCGGAAUAGUAAGUCGGAGGUGAAAGCCCGGGGCUCAACCCCGGAGGGUCUUUCGAAACUGCUAAUCUAGAGAGGGUCAGGGGCCGGCAGAAUUCCUGGUGUAGAGGUGAAAUUCGUAGAUAUCAGGAGGAAUACCGGUGGCGAAGGCGGCCGGCUGGGGCCACUCUGACGCUGAGGCGCGAAAGCGUGGGGAGCAAACAGGAUUAGAUACCCUGGUAGUCCACGCCGUAAACGAUGAGCACUGGACGUCCGGAGGGUUCGACCCUUCUGGGUGUCUCAGCUAACGCAUUAAGUGCUCCGCCUGGGGAGUACGGUCGCCAGGAACUAAACCUCUAAUAGGAAUUAGGC
rnacentral:rRNA from 1 species